UUUACAUAUUCAACUCAGUACUUUCUCUUCUCUGCUAUACUUCUCCCUCUUCGGUACCCUCCAUUCUCCUCCAUCUCUUUCGUUCUCCUCCAUUCUCCUCGAUCUCCUUCGUUCUCCUCCUUUCUCCUCUAUUCUUCCUCCUUCGUUCUCCUCCACUCUCCUUCAUUCUGAUUGUCAUUGUUCUUGUUCGAUCGUCAAGGUGGUUGGGUGAAGGUGUUGUUCGGCGUUUGAAGUUGUUCGGCAUUUGAAAUUGUUCAGCGCUUCAAAUUGUUCAGCGUUUGAAGUUGUUCGGCGUUUGAAGUUGUUCGUUGUGGUUGAAGUUCUCGGCUGUGGUAGGAGAAACCCUUGUUGUGGUGUGUUAUCAUCUCGUUGUCUGUCGCGGGUGAGCUGCUCCUCUCCCAUUUCCUCCAUUCGUCGAUUGAACCAUAACGUCAAGUAGAGUGGAAGAGAAAGAAAGGUUUUCUUUGUGGUGCUAAUUUCUUGAUGGUUUAUUGUCCCGCUUGUUUUUUCUUUUUUUUUUUUAUAGGGAACAACAGCGAAAACAGAGAGGGGUGGAACAAGGGAUUUUUGUGGGCAUCAAUUACUUGCCCUUUGCUGUCUGCUUCAAAUAAUUUUGGAGAAUGGUUUCUUUUCGAUGCUCUUAUAAGGGUUGGGGAAGGAGUAUAGCUGGCCAAACUGUCAAUAAUGAUGUUGAAUUUCACUGACUUUAAAUCUAAUGUUUUUAUUAUUAUUCACCUCUUAGUUUUUAUUUUUUUCCCUUCAUCCCAUGAAUUGACAUUAGAUCCUUACUUUUUCUUUUAUAAUAAAAGAAAGAAAAUGUAUAAUCCAGCAUAGAAGAUUCCACGCUUGCUUCAGAAAUUGGUCAGUAUUUGUCUUAGUUUUGAUGUGGAUGUGCAGUUUUUCCUUUCUAUGUACAAACAAAUGUGAUUUUGUGGAGGUUAACUUGGUGUAAAAUGUUGAUUAUUA